GAUGAACGCUGGCGGCGUGCCUAAUACAUGCAAGUCGAGCGAACAGACGAGGAGCUUGCUCCUCUGACGUUAACGGCGGACGGGUGAGUAACACGUGGAUAACCUACCUAUAAGACUGGGAUAACUUCGGGAAACCGGAGCUAAUACCGGAUAAUAUAUUGAACCGCAUGGUUCAAUAGUGAAAGACGGUUUUGCUGUCACUGAUACAUGGAUCCGCGCCGCAGUAGCUAGUUGGUAAGGUAACGGCUUACCAAGGCGACGAUGGGUAGCCGACCUGAGAGGGUGAUCGGCCACACUGGAACUGAGACACGGCCCAGACUCCUACGGGAGGCAGCAGUAGGGAAUCUUCCGAGAUGGGCGAAAGCCUGACGGAGCAACGCCGCGUGAGUGAUGAAGGUCUUCGGAUCGUAAGACGCUGUUAUUAGGGAAGAACAAAUGUGUAAGUAACUAUGCACGUCUUGACGGUACCUAAUCAGAAAGCCACGGCUAACUACGUG
rnacentral:rRNA from 1 species